rnacentral:rRNA from 1 species
GGAGUUAGCCGGUGCUUCUUCUGCGAGUAACGUCACAGAUGUAAGGUAUUAACUUACACCCUUUCCUCCUCGCUGAAAGUGCUUUACAACCCGAAGGCCUUCUUCACACACGCGGCAUGGCUGCAUCAGGGUUUCCCCCAUUGUGCAAUAUUCCCCACUGCUGCCUCCCGUAGUAGUCUGGGCCGUGUCUCAGUCCCAGUGUGGCUGAUCAUCCUCUCAGACCAGCUAGGGAUCGUCGCCUAGGUGAGCCUUUACCUCACCUACUAGCUAAUCCCACCUGGGCUUAUCCAUCAGCGCAAGGCCCGAAGGUCCCCUGCUUUCCCCCGUAGGGCGUAUGCGGUAUUAGCAGUCGUUUCCAACUGUUAUCCCCCACAAAUGGGCAAAUUCCCAGGCAUUACUCACCCGUCCGCCGCUCGUCAUCUUCAAAAGCAAGCUUUUGAAAUGUUACCGCUCGACUUGCAUGUGUUAGGCCUGCCGCCAGCGUUCAAUCUGAGCCAGAAUCAAACUCUGA